GCGAGCGGCGGAUGGGUGAGUAACACGUGGGGAACCUGCCCCAUAGUCUAGGAUACCACUUGGAAACAGGUGCUAAUACCGGAUAAGAAAGCAGAUCGCAUGAUCAGCUUUUAAAAGGCGGCGUAAGCUGUCGCUAUGGGAUGGCCCCGCGGUGCAUUAGCUAGUUGGUAAGGUAAAGGCUUACCAAGGCGAUGAUGCAUAGCCGAGUUGAGAGACUGAUCGGCCACAUUGGGACUGAGACACGGCCCAAACUCCUACGGGAGGCAGCAGUAGGGAAUCUUCCACAAUGGACGCAAGUCUGAUGGAGCAACGCCGCGUGAGUGAAGAAGGUUUUCGGAUCGUAAAGCUCUGUUGUUGGUGAAGAAGGAUAGAGGUAGUAACUGGCCUUUAUUUGACGGUAAUCAACCAGAAAGUCACGGCUAACUACGUGCCAGCAGCCGCGGUAAUACGUAGGUGGCAAGCGUUGUCCGGAUUUAUUGGGCGUAAAGCGAGCGCAGGCGGAAGAAUAAGUCUGAUGUGAAAGCCCUCGGCUUAACCGAGGAACUGCAUCGGAAACUGUUUUUCUUGAGUGCAGAAAGAGGAGAGUGGAACUCCAUGUGUAGCGGUGGAAUGCGUAGAUAUAUGGAAGAACACCAGUGGCGAAGGCGGCUCUCUGGGUCUGCAACUGACGCUGAGGCUCGAAAGCAUGGGUAGCGAACAGGAUUAGAUACCC
rnacentral:rRNA from 1 species